GCACUGCUGGUUCAAUGGUAGAAUUUUUGUCCUCCAUGCAGAAGGCCCAGGUUCAAUUCCUGGCCGAUUCA
rnacentral:tRNA from 1 species